UCACGUUUCAACCUUCCUCAUGUCACCGCCAGGGAAGAAGCCAAUCCUGCUGCAGGGCCAUGAGUGGCCCAUUACACAGAUUAAGUAUAACGGCAAAGGAGACCUCCUCUUUACUGUGGCCAAGGACCCUAUCGUCAAUGUAUGGUACUCUGUGAAUGGCAGAGACUGGGCACCUACAUGGGCCAUACCAGAGCUGUGUGGUAUGUGCAUGCUGACUGGAACACCAAACAUGUCCUUACUGGCUCAGCUGACAACAGCUGUCAUCUCUGGGACUGUGAAACAGGAAAGUAGCUGGCCCUACCCAAGACCAAUUCGGCUGUCCGGGCCUGCGGUUUUGACUCUGGCGGCAACAUCAUCAUGUUCUCCACAGACAAGUAGAUGGGCUACCAAUGCUUUGUGAGCUUCUUUGAUCUUCGGGAUCCGAGCCAGAUUGAUAACAACGAGCCCUACGUGAAGAUCCCUUGCAAUGACUCUAAAAUCACCAGUGCCAUUUGGGGACCCCAGGGAGAGUGCAUCAUCGCUGGCCAUAAGAGUGGAGAGCUCAACCAGUAUAGUGCCAAGUCUGGAAAGGUAUUGGUGAACAUUAAGGAGCACUUGCGGCAGAUCAACGACAUCCGGUUAUCCAGGGACAUGACCAUGUUUGUGACGGCAUCCAAGGACAACACAGCCAAGAUUUUUGACUCCACAACUCUUGAACAUCAGAAGACUUUCUGGACAGAACGUCCCGCCAACUCAGCUGCCCUCUCCCCCAACUAUGACCAUGUGGUCCUGGGUGGUGGUCAGGAAGCCAUGGAUAUAACCACAACCUCCACCAGGAUUGGCAAGUUUGAGGCCAGGUUCUUCCAUUUGGCCUUUGAAGAAGAGUUUGGAAGAGUCAAAGGUAACUUUGGACCUAUCAACAGUUUUGCCUUCCAACCUGAUGGCAAGAGCUACAGCAGUGGUGGCGAAGAUGGUUACGUUGUAUCCACUACUUCGGCCCACAGUACUUCGAAUUUGAGUUUGAGGCUUAAGAAGCUGGAUCUCCGGCUAGGCGCGGUGGCUCUCACCUGUAAUCCCAGCACUUUGGGAGGCCAAGGUGGGCAGAUCACCUGAGAUCAGAACUGAAGACCAGCCUGACCAACAUGGA